rnacentral:rRNA from 1 species
UGCAGUCGAGCGGUCCCUUCGGGGAUAGCGGCGGACGGGUGAGUAACACGUAGGCAACCUGCCUGUAAGAUCGGGAUAACUAUCGGAAACGGUAGCUAAGACCGGAUAGCUGGUUUUCUCGCAUGAGAGAAUCAUGAAACACGGGGCAACCUGUGGCUUACAGAUGGGCCUGCGGCGCAUUAGCUAGUUGGUAGGGUAACGGCCUACCAAGGCGACGAUGCGUAGCCGACCUGAGAGGGUGAACGGCCACACUGGGACUGAGACACGGCCCAGACUCCUACGGGAGGCAGCAGUAGGGAAUCUUCCGCAAUGGACGCAAGUCUGACGGAGCAACGCCGCGUGAGUGAUGAAGGUUUUCGGAUCGUAAAGCUCUGUUGCCCUAGACGAAUAGCAAGGCGAGUAACUGCGCUUUGUGUGACGGUAUAGGAGAAGAAAGCCCCGGCUAACUACGUGCCAGCAGCCGCGGUAAUACGUAGGGGGCAAGCGUUGUCCGGAAUUAUUGGGCGUAAAGCGCGCGCAGGCGGUUAAUUAAGUUUGGUGUUUAAGCCCGGGGCUCAACCCCGGUUCGCAUCGAAAACUGGUUGACUUGAGUGUANGAGAGGAAAGUGGAAUUCCACGUGUAGCGGUGAAAUGCGUANAGAUGUGGAGGAACACCAGUGGCGAAGGCGACUUUCUGGCCUAUAACUGACGCUGAAGCGCGAAAGCGUGGGGAGCAAACAGGAUUAAAUCCCUGGUAGUCCCGCCCGUAACGAUGAAUGCUUAGUGUAAGGGGUUUCGAUGCCCUUGGNUGCCAAAUUAACACAGUAAGCACUCGCCCUGGGGAGUAGCCUCGCAGAGUGAACCUCAAAGGAAUGGACGGGGACCCGCCCAAACANGGGAGUAGGUGUUUAAUUCAAAACAACCCGAAG